GCAAGUCGAGGGGUAACAGAUGAAGAGCUUGCUCUGAUUGCUGACGACCGGCGCACGGGUGAGUAACAAGUAUGCAACCUACCUUUUACAGAGGGAUAGCCCAGAGAAAUUUGGAUUAAUACCUCAUAAUAUUUUUAACUCGCAUGAGUUUUAAAUUAAAACUUCGGUGGUAAAAGAUGGGCAUGCGUUCUAUUAGUUUGUUGGUGAGGUAACGGCUUACCAAGGCAACGAUGUCUAGGGGAUCUGAGAGGACUACC
rnacentral:rRNA from 1 species